GCCUGGGUGGCUCAGUCGGUUGGGCAUCCGACUUUGGCUCAGGUCAUGAUCUCACAGUUCGUGGGUUCAAGCCCCACAUCGGGCU
rnacentral:tRNA from 1 species